UGGGGAAUAUUGGAUAAUGGGGGGAACCCUGAUCCAGCCAUGCCGCGUGUGUGAAGAAGGCCGUAUGGUUGUAAAGCACUUUAAGCGAGGAGGAGGGUACUGGUAUUAGUACUACCAGGUACUGGACGUUACUCGCAGAAUAAGCACCGGCUAACUCUGUGCCAGCAGCCGCGGUAAUACAGAGGGUGCGAGCGUUAAUCGGAUUUACUGGGCGUAAAGCGUGCGUAGGCGGCUAAUUGAGUCGGAUGUGUAAUCCCCGAGCUUAACUUGGGAAUUGCAUUCGAUACUGGUUAGCUAGAUUGUGGGAGAGGAUGGUAGAAUUCCAGGUGUAGCGGUGAAAUGCGUAGAGAUCUGGAGGAAUACCGAUAGCGAAGGCAGCCAUCUGGCCUAACACUGACGCUGAGGUACGAAAGCAUGGGGAGCAAACAAG
rnacentral:rRNA from 1 species